CAUUGAAUUCAGUUAACAAAAAAAAAAAGCUGAAGUACCAAACAACCUGUGGUUUUGACAAAUACUAAACAUUAUAAAUGAGGUGUUUGGGUCAGUUGUAUUGCAUUGCAUUACAUCGUACUGGGCACAGUAUACACUAGAAAUUGGUCUUUCCUUCGUAACACUGCUGAAACGAACGAUAAGUUGAUCGUUAUUGCACGGGAAAAGGCAAUAGCCAUUUGGUAGGUGGGAGGAGGGAAGCAUGUCUGCAGUACAGUUUACAGAGACAGAAACAGUUUUCCCUUCUAAAAUGCAGUUUCACCUUCCCUGCUGAGAAAAUGACACAUUCGACUUGCUACGUUUGUGUAACAUAAAUGGUACAUGUUUGUCUUAAUUGAAGUGAGAAGGAAAUAACGUUGGAUAUGAUAAAUACCACGGAAACAAACAAGGACUUUUUUAAUGCUGUUGCAUCCUAGAUGAAAAUCUGUUAUUUCUUUUGUGCAUUGACAAAUAUACAAACGAAUUAUGCAGCUGUGCAUGAAUGUACCUGGUGCUUACAUUAAUACCAUGAAAAUGGAGCUACUGUAGCAUUAAAGGAUGUGGUCUGUCAGGGUUUGUGCAGACUGCAGAUUGAACAUAAUUGCUGCAACAUGCAGUGUGCUGAAACUAUUUCCCAGGUUCUUUGGUAAAUUUGAUUAAACCUAUCCAAGUGAGUAAAACCAUGACCAGUUGCUAUGUGAGAAAAUGUAAUUUAAAACAAAGUAUUGUCUUAAUUCCUAGAAGGUGCAUACCUUGUAAUAUUAAAAACUACAAGAAGAAAAGAAAUAGCAUGAAGUCCAGUAAUGUUGCUGAACUCAGGCAGUUUCCAGAUGUAAUGUAGUUUCUUGAAAUUCAGCUGCAAUUUUCACAUUUUACCUACUUAGUUAAAGCUAUAAUUACUGGAAAUGUAUUAUUCUUACCAUGUAUUUAAAUAUGUGUUUAAUGCUAAACGGAGUGCUUCGAGGGUCUCUAAAAGGAACAGUACCAACAUUUCUUUCUGAGUGGAAAUGUUCUCAUUUUCUGUUCAACCUAAGAAGGGCUUUGUCACAUUGUGCCAUUCAUUGCGCUAUUUUAGCUCCCCAAAUAACCAUUCCGUUCCACUAGCAUGAUAUAAUUAUAUUUGGUAGCCCUAAUUAUCACUAUACACACCAUGCUUUCAUGGUAUAUAUUCAGGAAUGAGAAUUAGUGCCAACAGUGGGGCGGGGGAGGGGAGCUUUUCAUAUGAGGGACUCGAACAGGAACAAAAUGUCUGCUCAUAUUACAUUAAAAAAUACCACUGUGUUGAAUGUGAUUUCAAGAGUAAAAUUGCCAUCUUAAUGUGGUGAGUUUCUUUUACUUUCACACAGUGGCUAGGCAGUAGUGAGUGACUUCACGACAGGAGGCUGACUGCAGUCUCACUAAAUAACUGGAAGGGGUAGACACAUUUCAGAGAUCUCAUUUUGCUCUGUCAGGGAAGAAGCAGUAUGUCACUAUUUGAUGGCAUGGCUGCACAGUGUGACAACUUUACCAGUGGGGAAAAAAACUGCCACCUUUUGGUAUCUUAUUGUCUCUGGUGUUGGAGUGAAUCACACUACUUCUCGAUGGAAUCACAGGCCAGGCGGAGCAACAUGACUGCUGGCACUGACUCCAUUUUUACUUGUCCAGUUAUUUACCAUCAGUGCAGGAGGACAAAACGAAGAGGUUUGCCACAGUCGAAAAAUACCCCCCCCCCCCCCCCAAACGCAAAGACCUCUGGAUAUAAUGAGAUUUGAUGCUGUAAUUUCAAGGUUGUUGAAAAAGCUGUGUUUCAGUGAUGUUAUUUAUCUUGUUCUGUGCCGACACCCUGUAAUGAUGACCUGUCACUCUUCUCUGUUUUGUGCUCAAUAUUUAUAUAUGAUCAGACUUCUUUUUCACUGUAUUUCUUUGGAUUAUCACCCAUUUUUUGUGCCAUACCUGCAACUAAUGAAAAAAUAAAGAAAACGAAUAUUUUA